rnacentral:ncRNA from 2 species
UUCUUAUCCAGAGAGGUGGAGGGAACGGCCCGAAGAAACCUCAGCAACCAGCCACGAUCCUGUGGUCAGGUGCUAAUUCCUGCAAGCAUUAUUUGCUUGAGAGAUAAGAG